GUGGGGAAUCUUGCGCAAUGGGCGAAAGCCUGACGCAGCCAUGCCGCGUGAAUGAUGAAGGUCUUAGGAUUGUAAAAUUCUUUCACCGGGGACGAUAAUGACGGUACCCGGAGAAGAAGCUCCGGCUAACUUCGUGCCAGCAGCCGCGGUAAUACGAAGGGGGCUAGCGUUGCUCGGAAUUACUGGGCGUAAAGGGCGCGUAGGCGGACAGCUUAGUCAGAGGUGUAAGCCCAGGGCUCAACCUUGGAAUUGCCUUUGAUACUGGCUGUCUUGAGUUUGGGAGAGGUGAGUGGAACUCCGAGUGUAGAGGUGAAAUUCGUAGAUAUUCGGAAGAACACCAGUGGCGAAGGCGACUCACUGGCCCAAUACUGACGCUGAGGCGCGAAAGCGUGGGGAGCAAACAGGAUUAGAAACCCCAGUAGUCC
rnacentral:rRNA from 1 species